UUAGAUAAUAGAUAUUAUAUCAUUAGAAAGAAUUAUUACGGCCUUGGGCUUAGAACAACGACUCAGUAAAAGUCCAAAGAUCUUAUAAAUAACAAAAAAGAGGAGGCCUAAGAGAAGCUAUAUACAUUACAACUCUAGCCCAAGGCCCAAACCACAAACCCUAGAGCAACUGAAGGAGGAAGGUAAGAACAAGCGCAGCGCCGUUGCUCAUCCCACCCUCCACCUACUGCUUGGAGAGGACCGGCCAAUAGACACAUGGAAACACCACCGAAAAGUCUUUCCCUCUAGAUACAACCUUCAAAGGCAACAGAAUAGGCCCCCAAAAGUCAAGAUCCACCAUUUUCGAUGAUCUACAAAAGAGUCGACAGCCGUAAGUCCUACAACUUUUGAGCUUUCAAGGGUCAAGUGGCCAAACAAAGUAGCCGACUAUAGGACCCCAGAGAUAACCAUCCUCACGGCCUAAAACAAGUUUGCAUCCCUGCGAGCUAAGAAAGAAAGCCUAUGAUGCGAUAGGCAAAGCUUCUAUGGGUAGCAGCACCAAGCGAACCCAUCUCUGAAUACCAUCUCAAGCCAAGAGCAGCCAAAACCGAAUCUUAGGAGACCCAAGAAAAUUACUGCUGAACUCUAAAAAAACUAACCAUCACAAGUUGAACGCUUCCUUAACAUUGAAAAAAUGACCUGCAUGCAACAAAAAAACGCAUCCUAAAAAGCCUAUGCAUAGCCCAACUUAGAGAAAGGUAAAAAAUAACCCAUCCGAGUAGGGUAUGGAGGGCCAUCCUCCAGCCGAAAUGAUAGGAAACGACCUCAAAAAUAAGCAAGAACGAG
rnacentral:misc_RNA from 1 species